GUAUUUGGAUUCUGUCUGGGUGAUUCUGGAAACCCCAGUUGUUUCUGUGUCUGAAUGAGUUACUUUUUCAGUUUAUUUGCCUCCUCUUUGUGAUUUUAAAAUAUUUAAAUCGUUUUCUAAAAAUGUAAUUCUGGGGCAUUUCUAUUGCUUUGAGGAGGAGCACAGGAAGAAAGAAGAAGCGCUGCAGGUUGCCUGGUGUGGACUCUGUCUUAAAAGGCCUCCCCACUGAAGAAAAAGAUGAAAAUGAUGAAAACUCAUUAAGCAGUUCCUCUGACUGUAGUGAAAACAAGGAUGAAGAAAUAAGUGAAGAAAGUGAUAUUGAAGAAAAGACUGAAGUGAAAGAAGAACCAGAGCUUCAAACAAGAAGGGAAAUGGAAGAAAGAACAAUAACUAUAGAAAUCCCUGAAGUUCUGAAGAAGCAGCUGGAGGAUGAUUGUUACUACAUUAACAGGAGGAAACGGUUAGUGAAACUUCCAUGCCAGACCAACAUCAUAACGAUUUUGGAAUCCUAUGUGAAGCAUUUUGCUAUCAAUGCAGCCUUUUCAGCCA
rnacentral:lncRNA from 1 species